rnacentral:rRNA from 1 species
AAAGGGAGGAAAAGAAACCAACCGGGAUUGCCUCAGUAACGGCGAGUGAAGCGGCAAGAGCUCAAAUUUGAAAGCUGGCUCCUUCGGAGUCCGCAUUGUAAUUUGCAGAGGAUGCUUUGGGUGCGGCCCCCGUCUAAGUGCCCUGGAACGGGCCGUCAGAGAGGGUGAGAAUCCCGUCUUGGGCGGGGUGUCCGUGCCCGUGUAAAGCUCCUUCGACGAGUCGAGUUGUUUGGGAAUGCAGCUCUAAAUGGGUGGUAAAUUUCAUCUAAAGCUAAAUACUGGCCGGAGACCGAUAGCGCACAAGUAGAGUGAUCGAAAGAUGAAAAGCACUUUGAAAAGAGAGUUAAACAGCACGUGAAAUUGUUGAAAGGGAAGCGCUUGCGACCAGACUCGCCCGCGGGGUUCAGCCGGCAUUCGUGCCGGUGUACUUCCCCGUGGGCGGGCCAGCGUCGGUUUGGGCGGCCGGUCAAAGGCCCCUGGAAUGUAGUGCCCUCCGGGGCACCUUAUAGCCAGGGGUGCAAUGCGGCCAGCCUGGACCGAGGAACGCGCUUCGGCACGGACGCUGGCAUAAUGGUCGUAAACGACCCGUCU